rnacentral:lncRNA from 1 species
AUGAGCAAUGUGCCCAGAUUCCACGCCAGGGCGCUUGUAAAACUUGCAGGAAAAUGGAAGGAAAAGGCUCUGCUGUGUCAGACACCCGUGGUUUUUGGUGUAGUGACUGUACAAAAGAAGGAAGUUGUUUUCUGCAACUCAAGUUGUUCUUUACAACGAAUCCUUAGAAGUGGAACUCCCAGAAGACUCCGCGCUUUGAUAGUUUUCUUUCCGGAAACUUGCAUCGACUCACAGGGAAGAGUCACAGGGUGGUGUGUUCUUCCCCGUGUCCUGGUCUUCCUGCGCAGGCGGCGACGUGCCAGGUGCCGUGGACUGCUCCUCAGCAGGUGCUCAACUGCUCCCGCGGCUGCAGCCUCUUCUCCCCGCGCCCUCACAGCCGUCACUGUCACUGCUGCCCGGAGAAUCCUCUUUGCUUGAGACUCGUCCUCUCCUUCUGCCUUCCCCGCUGUGGUCACGGGUCCUGCCGGCCACCUUCUCUUCCAAACUCGGAACUUCCGGGCGCUCCAUGACAGCCACCUGUCCCUCACCGCCUUCCGUUAUUCUAUCAUCAAAAUCUCGUUUGACUUCGCUCUGGCUGCUGCCUUUCCCCUAGUUUGUCCCAGCCCUGGGGUUCCUAGUGUGGUUGUUCUACCAACGAUCUUUCUGCCUUUUAACACUUCCUUCUUAGAAUCUCCAGAAUAUGUUUGAAAGGCAGCUAGGACUCUGGCGCUCUGCUGGUUUGGCAUUCGGUGCUGAGGGGGCCGUGCGCAGGGUGCUGAGGCUGCUGGGUGGUGUGGAAGCCCCCGCUUCCCAUCGCCAGCUGUCCGGAGCCUGCCCCUCGUGUGUACUCAUGCAGCCCAGGCCGGAAACCACAGACCAGGUCCUGCCCGUGCCCUGCAUCGGGCGCACUCUGUCCUGUUUAUUGGUCAACUCGUCCUUCUUGUGUGUGUGUGUGUGUUUUUAAAGAUUUAUUUAUUUACUUGAAAGAGUUACAGAGAGAGGGACACACACGCACACACACACACACUCUUCCAUCCACUGGUUCACUCCCUGAAUGCCCACAAUCGCCAGGCCUGGGCCUGGACAAAGCCAGGAACCCGGAUGUCCAUGCAGGUUCCCCCAGGGUGGCAGGGCCGUCCUUGGCCGCUUCCCCAGGCCAGCAGCAGGGACUUUAUCAGCAGCAGAGCAGCAGGGCCUCGCACCCGCGGAUGGCAGCGUCCCGGGCGGAGCCUCGGCCUGCUGCGCCGCCACACAGCCCUGCGCACUCGUCUGCAUGUUCAGUUCCAGCCCCACUUCCUCUCCACCACUGACUCAGUCUCAACUCCAGCUCGUUUCCCGUCUGCUGUCGGACCUGCUGUGCCGCUCUGUACGUAUUCGUGGAUGAGAUUAUCUCCUCUCUGGAGCUCUCUGUGGUCAGAGACUGCAGUUAGGUCACCUUUGCCUCCCUAAUGCCAGUGAGGGAAUAGCACCACCCAUCUCCCAGCAUGCAGUAGGUGCUGAGUGUCUGUUCUGGGUGUGUGAUGUUCUCUUGUGCUGUUUCCUGUCCCCACAGUGUUUUCUUUCUUUUUUUUUAAAGAUUUAUUUAUUUAUUUGAAAGUCAGAGUUACACAGAGAGAGAAGGAGAGGCAGAGAGAGAGAGAGAGAGGUCUUCCAUCCGAUGGUUCACUCCCCAGAUGGCCGCAAUAGCCGGAGCUGCACCAAUCCGAAGCCAGGAGCCAGGAGCCUCCUCCGGGUCUCCCAUAUGAGUUCCGGGGCCCAAUGACCUGGGCCAUCCUCUACUGCUUUCCCAGGCUAUGGCAGAGAGCUGGAUCUGAAGAGGAGCAGCCGGGACUAGAACCGGUGCCCCUAUGGGAUGUGGGCACUUCAGGCCAGAGCGUUAACCCACUGCGCCACAGCGCCGGCCCCCCACAGUGUUUUCUUUAUCUUGCUCAGCAUGUGUCCUACAUAUUGGGCAUUGAUUGACCAUUCAAAGGGUUUUUCAAAAGUUCAUAGAAAAUGCAUAUUAUGAAAAGCCAAUACAUGGAUUUUGCAAAAAGUUUGCACCAAAAUCAAUUUAGUUUUUAUUUUUCAAAAAUAAAAAUGUUUAACAGACACA